UUUUAAAAAGAAAAUAAAAAACUAAAAAAGAGAAAGAAAAAAAAAAAAAGAAGGAUCAUCAUCGGAAAUGGCGACAGUGGCAUGGAAGCAGCUCCUUCUGAACGCUCUUGAAUCCAACUCUCAUCUCAAGCACUCUACUUUCUUUCAGCUCGCAACGGUUGGAACCAACGGAACACCUUCCAACCGCACCGUUGUUUUCAGAGGAUUCCAAGACAACACUGAUAACAUCCAAAUCAACACUGAUGCCCGCAAUCGCAAGAUUGAAGAGCUCAAGCGUUGGCCCUCUGCUGAGAUAUGCUGGUACUUCACAGAUUCUUGGGAGCAAUUCCGGAUACAUGGGAACAUAGAUAUCAUUGACGGAGCGAAUCCUGACCCACUGAAACUUCAGUUCAUACUGCAGCAAAGAGAGAAAUCAUGGUUUGCGAAUUCACUGAGAUCAAGGUCACAAUAUUUAGGGCCGAACCCUGGUCUUCCGCGUCUAAUAGAGCAAGCACAGCCAGAAGUAUCUUUAGAUCCUUCUACAGGUCCAGUUGAUGCUUUUUGUCUGCUGAUCCUAGAACCAGAUCAGGUUGAUUACUUGAAUCUGAAGAGUAAUCAGAGGCUCACUUUCAAAACAGUUGUUAGUGCUGCCACAGACAAAAGCUGGGUUAUGGAAAGGGUCAACCCGUAAUCAAGUUCACUGUCGUAUUUAGACUUCACUUUAGACCAUUCAUUGCAUGUUUCGAGUAUAGGAGGCAGGACUGACCAGAAUGUUCCAGUCAGACUUUCAUCAUACAACAUACGAUAGAUCAGCAUUUGUGCCUGUAAAGGUUCUGAAAAGUUUAAUGCUGUCCGCUGGAGGAGAAGGUAGGGACUCGGAUUCCCCUUUUCCGUUGUAAACUAUAAAUACCAUGCCUAGCCCCCAUGAUUGGUGUAUAUCAAUGUGGCAAUGCAUAUACCAGACGCCUGCGAAAAUUAUCAAAGUUAUUUCAAGAAAUCAAUAAGUCCUGUUGUUUAACAGGGAAAUGAAAUAUACACUAAGGAUUUUUACCUGGAUUAUUGGCGACAAAGCGAAUUGCUGCCCAUCCACCAACCGG